AGGAUGAGCGCUGGCGGUCUGCUUAACACAUGCAAGUCGAACGGAGUAGCAAUACUUAGUGGCGGACGGGUGAGUAACGCGUGAGAAUCUACCUUCAGGACGGAGACAACAGUUGGAAACGACUGCUAACCCCCGAUGUACUGAAAAGGCAAAUAUUUAUAGCCUGAAGAAGAGCUCGCGUCCGAUUAGCUAGUUGGAGAGGUAAAAGCUCACCAAGGCGACGAUCGGUAGCUGGUCUGAGAGGACGAUCAGCCACACUGGGACUGAGACACGGCCCAGACUCCUACGGGAGGCAGCAGUGGGGAAUUUUCCGCAAUGGGCGAAAGCCUGACGGAGCAAGACCGCGUGGGGGAAGAAGGCUCUUGGGGUUGUAAACCCCCUUUUCUCUGGGAAGAACACAAUGACGGUACCAGAGGAAUCAGCAUCGGCUAACUCCGUGCCAGCAGCCGC
rnacentral:rRNA from 1 species